GACGAAGGACCCGAGCGUUAUCCGGAUUCAUUGGGUUUAAAGGGUGCGUAGGUGGAUUGAUAAGUCAGUGGUGAAAUCUCCAGGCUUAACCUGGAAACUGCCAUUGAUACUGUCAAUCUUGAAUAUGUUUGAUGUGGGCGGAAUAUGACAUGUAGCGGUGAAAUGCUUAGAUAUGUCAUAGAACACCGAUUUCGAAGGCCGCUCACCAAGCCAUUAUUGACACUGAGGCCCGAAAGUGUGGGGAUCAAACAGG
rnacentral:rRNA from 1 species